GUCAAAAUAUGGAAAUGGAAUAUGGAAAAAUCAAACCAACAGCCAAUAUAUUUAAUUUCUUACUCCAGAAGUUUGAGCAGCUCUUGUUUCCCAGACCAUGGCCCAUCAGCUUGUACAUCCUCCUGAGAUGGACUUGUGGCUUUUCUUACCAUCAGCAGGGAAAAAAAGGUAUUUUAUGUUUAUUUACAUAAUACAGAAACAUGAAUAUUGACAAUUAUUCAAUUCUUUAGUAAUGAGUAUUUUACUAUUGGAUUUAUAUGUUGGUUGAGGGUGGUUGGUGUGCUGGACAGUUUUGUGCCAUGUCAGAAAUGCAGGAAAAGUUCUGUGAACAUGAGGCUUUAAAGACUUUUCACUGGAGAGAACAGAUGUUUACAGAUGCUGCCCUCACUAAAGCAGCUCCAGUUAAACCAAUAAGGCCAGUAAUUAGGCUGGUUUAUAAAUGUCCAGGCAGUCCUUGAAUAAAAUGGAAUGGGACUUAGAAUUAAGGAUAUUCCCAAAAGGAGUAAAUCCAAGAGACUGUGGUUUUCACGUUCUUAGGAUGGCUGAGGGUGUCACAUACAGUUAUUUACUUCCAAAUACCCACCUUUAUUUUCGUGGUGCAAAGGAAUAUUGUUGAGCCCCAAGGAGAAGACUGGGUAAAAACAGGUUCUUCUGGAGCAAGAGGGCUUGUCUCCUUUUUUAUCUCUUUCAUUCCAACCAGCAGAUCACUGGAGAUUGUUCUUGAUUUGCUCUUGCCAGAGAUUGUCCCUCUUUAUUAAUGUAAUAAUAGAGAGAUUUAAUUAGAGCACAUUCUUUAUUACACUUCCCACACCGUCAGCAACAAAAGGGGCGAGGAGAGCAGAUCAUAAACUGUGUCAUCCUAUGGGGUCACUCCAUCAGCUCUGCUCUGCAGGGCACGGAGCAAGGGCAUGGAAAAUGGGCAGCCCAGAGGAGGGGCAGGAGGAGGGAAUAAUAGACAUUCUCAUCACUGGCUUAGAUCUGCUCCUCUUUAAGUCAAAGGCAGUUUUAAUAUAGUGAGAUUAAUUCUGGCCUCUUUUGCAAACACUGUGAGCAGAGCAGGAUCCUAAUAACGUGGAUAUAAGUCUGAAGGAAGGGCCUUAAGUGGCAGUGAAGUUUGAUGGCGACGUCUGAGGUGACAGUAAUGCCUUUUAAAGUUUUUUCCCUCUAGGUCACCACUCCAAAUCCAGUCUAGGUCGUUACUGGCACAGAGUCAUUAUCAUCUCAUGAAUGUCAUCAAAUGGCACUCAAAAUGUUAAGUAUCCUGUUCUCCAAUUGAUACAUGGGAAGUCUUGCUGUCAGUGUUCUGUAGGAUCAGUGAGCAGCUCAUUGCGUCGCUCUUCGCCCGCAGCCUCUCAUUUUAUCACAUCCAAUAUCACAGCCCCUGCCAAGGAGAUGUUGAUAACCUGUGUCUAACCAGCCUCCUCAUUUGAAAGCUCUUAGUCUCUAAUAUAGGCCAAACAAUUUAUUUGUUUUGUCUCCAAUAUGAUUUUCUUCCUGUCCUUGUCUUGCAUUAACACCUCCCCUGACUUUCUCUAUUCUGCAGGUUGUUUGGUGCAGUGGAUAUUCACUGCCAGGGGGCAAAUAAUUAAGCUCAAACACUGGUUUUCAUCCCUUUUAUUUCUCCUGCUGUUACUUGUAGAGGUGGUUGGAGGGAAGCAGUGUUGACUUCAGCAAUUUAUUAUGUCCAUCCAAAGUUUCAAGACACAAUUAAUCAGGACUGUUAAUCCAGUCACAAUGAUGCUUAAAAAUUAGCACAGGAAAGCCUUGUCAAUGAAACAUUUUAAAUUGUUUUAUACGAAAAUUUUUGUACAUUUCUUGAAAUGUCAACAGCUUCAGCCUUUGUGAGGAGGGAUGGGGAAGGUGGUUCAGGGAUGUUCAUGGUGGGGAUUUCUUCCUUCUCUGUUUUGGGACCACUUGUGUUCAUCUCUAUAUAUUAAAAUUUACUGUAAGUUCUUAUCCCCUUUACUAUUUGUGUUGCAUCUCAGCUGCAGUUUGAAAACUUCACAGCAGGUUCUCCAGCCUCAUGGGACGUGAAGGAGGAUGGUUUGUUACCUGGUGACAAUGUGAGUUUGUCAGCCUGUGGCCAUGUUUACAGAGCAAGGGCAGGUGAGAUGUAUUUGCUGACCAGUGCUGAGGUUUUAACCACCACCAUCACUGCUGGAAAAGGCUCUGCUGAAGCUGUGGCCCUUUGGGAAGGUGUCCCUCCUUUGGGAAGGUGACUCUCCUUUGGGCCAAGAGCUCUCUCUCCAUUUCCUAGAGAAGAAAUAGAGGGCACACAGCUGGAAAGAGUAACGAGGAAGAAGCCAAGGAACUGCAGAAAUGUCUUUAAGACAUGAAAAAUUAUUAUUUCUUUAAAACAGGACACAGAACUGAGAUGAAAACUAACAAGGCUUUUUUUUCAGAUACAGUAGAAAGAACCUGUGAAGACUUUUUUCUUUUUCUCCUUUUUUUUUUUCCUUUGUGACCCAGAGAUUCUAAAAUCCUUUUCAAAUAGGAUUAUACUCUCAAGCCUCACUUUUCCAGUUUCCUUCCAUCUUAGUCCUGUUUCUCCAAAGGCUCGUGCUGGUGUGAGUGGAACAGUUGCUUUUAUAGCCAAGGUGCUUUUUUCCCAUCCCCAGUGCAGGCAGGGCUGGAAAUGGAGAGCUAUUAAAAGCCUUGCUCCCAAUUCCUGUGGUGAAUCCCGGGUCAGCUGUUGGAAAGGAAGGACAUUUGAGGUAAGUGGGUGCUUCUCUUGUCAUAGAGAACAAACCAGUGUUUAAAAUAGGGAGAAAGAUCCCUCUGCGGAGAUUUUUCUUGGGAAGAAAAAAAUCACUUCUGAGUUCAAUUUUGCAUGGAAAUUAAGGAUAAAAUCCGUGCAUUUGGGUAAUAAUGACAGUUGCCAUGGAAGUGCAGUGGUGCUUCUGUGGGACCCACAUGCCCACGGAAUAAUGAACUCUCAGAUCCCUUUUUUCAGGGUAUUUGUUUGCUCCAAGCCCAAAGGAGGUGGCUACACAGACUAGAAUUCCUCUGGCUUUGGGAAAACACACGGGAAGGAGUGAAACAAAUCUAGUUCCAUGCUCUGGAGCUACUGGGAAUUAAUUUCAAGUCUUUGGUACCUGAUGGUCGUUUUCAUUUCAGUAUGGAAAAGCAGUAAACCUGGAAAAUUACAGAUUUUGUGCCUGACAGGGACAAGGAACACACAGCAGGUUCUUCUGAAAGAUUUUAUACAUGUAAAAGGAUGGAAAUAAAGGCAGAAGCUGAAGCAGAUUCCAAACAAAAGCAGGAGGAGGAUGAUUUACUGUGAGCUGUAAUGAGGAAUGGACUCCCAGGUCCAUAAAUUCGAGUGAAUGAGUAUUGGAUGGUCCCUUUCCAGCUCUUUCAGGGCUUCAGAGAAAAGGAUCCAGCUACAGUGGAAAUAAAUCAAAUAAGCAGCACAAGGUAUCUCCUCUCGAUGUUUUCCAGCUGAAACCCUACACUAGAGCCAGAGAAUCAUAGAAUAUCCUGAACUGGAAGGGACCCACAAAGAUCAUCAAAGUCCAGCUCCUCACCCUGCUCAGGACAAUGCCAAGAAUCCCACCCUGAGCCUCACAGCAUUGUCCAAAUGCAUGUUUUAGCAAGUCAUAGGGAGCCACAGCAGCACAUCCUGACUCAUGGGACGCUCCCUGCUUGAUCAGCCAUGACACCACAACCCAGUGGUGACUUCUGUGAGAGCAAAUCCAGACUCUCACAACUUCCCAGCAGGAGUUGCUGGUGAAAAACCUCCAUGGAGAGGGAGAAGAAUCAGCAGAG